UCCAGCCGAAUACGAGAGUUACAGUUGCCAUGUAGAUAUUCUCAAGAGAGUUAAGGUCCAGGUGAAGAAGAUACAGAGGGGAAUAAAAAUACUGCUUCGUGGAAAAUCAAGAAAAAAUGCUCUCAUACCAUUACAACAAUUCCAAGAAAGGUGAAGAGAGUGAAAAAAGCCAAGAAGUUUUGGCCUUUUACAAAGAUUGAGUAGUGGCCUAAGCUCAAAUCACUGAGGUCAGGCCCCGAAGACACUACGAAAUGACAAUCCUACAAGAUCCAACACCAUUAUAAAACAGAGAUGGUGAUGAUUAAAAUAAAAUCAACAACCUUU